GGAAGUAAAAUCGUAACAAGGUUUCCGUAGGUGAACCUGCGGAAGGAUCAUUAUUGUAUAACCGAGGUGCGAGGGCUGUCGCUGACCCGAAAGGUCGUGCACGCCCGAGUGCCCUCACACACAUCCAUCUCACCCCUAUGUGCACCACCGCGUGGGUCCCCCUUUGGCUUGUUCGGAGGGGGGCUUACGUUUUCACACAAACUUUGUAUGCAGUGUAGAAUGUAUUUUUUGUUUUUGCGAUCACGCAAUCAAUACAGCUUUCAACAACGGAUCUCUUGGCUCUC
rnacentral:misc_RNA from 1 species